rnacentral:rRNA from 1 species
GUCUUUUGGAAUUUUAUUUAAAGUCUGAUCUGCCCCCUGAUUUAAAUUAAAUGGCCGCAGUAUUUUAACUGUGCAAAGGUAGCAUAAUCAUUAGUCUUUUAAUUGGAGGCUUGUAUGAAUGAUUUGACAAAGUAUAAACUGUUUCUUUUAAAUUUUUAUUAGAAUUUUAUUUUUUAGUUAAAAAGCUAAAAUUAUUUUGAAAGACGAGAAGACCCUAUAGAUCUUUAUAUUUUUUAUAUUAUUUUUAUUGUAGAUAUUUUUUAAUUUAAUAUAUGUUAAUAUUUUAUUGGGGUGAUAUUGAAAUUUAAUAAACUUUUGAUUUUAUUUUACCAUUAAUUAUUGAUUUAAAUGAUCCUUUAUUAUUGAUUAAAAAUUUAAGUUACCUUAGGGAUAACAGCGUAAUUAUUUUGGAGAGUUCUUAUCGAUAAAAUAGAUUGCGACCUCGAUGUUGGAUUAAGAUUAAUAUUAGGCGUAGCAGUUAAAAUAUUAAGUCUGUUCGACUUUUAAUUUCUU